CAAUAGCUGGGACUACAGGCGCUCGCCACCAUGCAUGGAACAGAUCAUCUUCAUCUGACUCCUCGAGGUACUUUAUAGGUUUCUUCGCCCGACUGGAUUUUGCCCGAGGAGCAACUGCUGCAUCAAAAUCUAGAUUGAAGUCGUCACUCUCCCCCUUGGAUUUCUACAGGAGAAAAGCCCAGGAUCAGGCUUCUGAGAGACACCAGAAUUCAAGGCUGGAUUCCUUUUGGUUCCUUUUGGGGCAGCCUUUUUGGCACCCGUGGUGGAAGUAGAAGACUGACCUACAAGUCAACACAGAUUGGGAAGACUUGGAUAGGUGUACUGUGGGAGGAAUCUUUGUUUCUGCAGAGCAAGAAGAUCAAUGGAAAAUAAAGUCAGGUGCUUCUAUUUUUAUUUCUAAGUACUCACAGCUUUGAUAAAUUUUUCACUUAAUUGGCAUGUUGAUCCAAAGCUCUUGGCUUGUAAAGUCAUGUUUUCUUUUGUCUGAGAGUCGAAGGUUGGGUUUUCAAUUAAGGCAUUCACAAAAAUCCACAUGUGAUUUUUCACCUGCAAUAAAACUUGGUAUUA